rnacentral:rRNA from 1 species
AAUCAACGCUGGCGGCGUGCCUAACACAUGCAAGUCGAACGCGAAAGCCCCGCAAGGGGUUAGUAGAGUGGCAAACGGGUGAGUAACACGUGGGUGACCUGCCUUCGAGUGGGGGAGUAACGUCCCGAAAGGGACGCUAAUACCGCAUAAUAUCCUGCCUUUUAAGUAGGUGGACAUCAAAGCUGGGGAUCGCAAGACCUAGCGCUUGAAGAGGGGCCCGCGCCUGAUUAGCUAGUUGGGGGGGUAAGUGGCUCACCAA